CAGAACCAGGGGCCUGCAGGGGACAAAGGGGUUCGCAGGAAGGCAUGAGACAGCAGGAGGUCUCCUCCCCCAGGGUGUGUGGCUGGGUGGGGAGGGGUCCCAUCUGGAAAUCAAGGGCGCAAUGGAUCUAGGGUGACCAGCCCAUCCUGGCCCGCCUGAGACUUUUCCCUUUUUAGCACUAAAAGUGCCAGGGCCUUGCCUGGUGGCUCAGACCUGUAAUGCCAGCACAUUGGGAGGCUGACACCGGAGAAUCACCUGAGCCAGGAGAUUGAGCCCAGCCUGGGCAAUAUAGUGAGACUCCAUCUCUACGAAAUAAUAAAAUGAAUUACUAGCAAGGCGUGGUGGCAUGUGCCUGUGGUCCCAGCUACCAGGGAGGCUGAGGUGGGAGGAUCGCUUGAGCCCAGUAUUUUGAGGCUGCAGUGAGCCAUGAUCACACCACUGCACUGCGGCCCAGGCAACAGAGCAAGACCCUGUCUCAAAGAAGAAAAAAGUUCCACUUCCAGGGUAAGCCCACAGCCCCAGUGGGUCACUGGAAGUGGGCAGGAAACCAACAUAUAUGAGGCCAAGUGAAAUGACUCACCUUUGAAGAAGAAAGUUUCCCCUCGGAUGUUGGCGAUGGCGUCAAAAUUGCCCUCACAUCGAUCAGGGAUGGGGAAGGAUGGGCUGGGAGGAAAGGAGAGGUGAGUAGAGAGGGGGGUUUGUUUUCUCCAAGGCAGGGACCCCCACCAUCCCCAUCUCAGAGGACACUGAGGCUGGGCAGCUGGUCACCCAAGGUCACCGAGUUGGUGGGGGACUCACCUGUGUGUGGGCGAGGCCGGGGGCUGGGGCGGAGGAGCCAGGGGUUUCCUUGUGGGCUUGUCAUAUGGGGUUUGGGGCGCCUUCCCUGUGAGGAAAGAGGCAGGUGUGCGUCCCCUGGCCCUGCUGCAGAGGACGCUGGAUGGGGCAAUGACGGUUUCGCCGGCAGGUCCCUCUCCCCCUACCAUAGAGUUGCUGCAGGCCAUCGCGGUCAUCCUGAGACAGGCGGUACUUGUCAGGGUCGCCCACCGGACCCUGGUAGAAGGGCCUCAUAAUGGAGUUGGGGGCUGAGGAGUGGCCCAGGCCCAGGGCGUGGCCAAACUCAUGGACAGCCACGGCAAACAGGUCGGUCCCCUCGCCGUCUGCAGGAGAGAGUGGGUGAGAGCUGCGGCCGCCCCUGCAUGGGGAAAGGGGCCACAGGAAGGCCCUGCGAGUGCAGCUGGGGCCAACAGGAACAGCAGGACACCCUCCAGAGGUGGCCCCAGCCUCCUCUGCCCAGCCCUUGCUGAACUCUCCAUCAUCCCUGUCUCCAGUCACCCAGUCAGCAUGGCUGUGAUGGACACUGGACCACAGGGCUGAAAAGAUCCAGAGAACACACAGAGGAAUAGGCCACCUUACACACAGAUGGGGCCCCUCCUCUGGGAAGGGAGCACUUUGUGCACAGAAGUUUGAGGGGGAGGAGCUGGGUGUGGUGGCUCAUGCCUGUAAACUCAGCACUUUUGGAGUCCCAGGUGGGAGGAUCGCUUGAGCCCAAGAGUUCAAGACUGGCCUGGACAACAUAAGGAGAUCCCCAUCUCUACAAAAAAAUUUUAAAAAUUGGCCAGGAGUGGUGGCGCAUGCCUGUGGUCCCAGCUACUCAGGUCCCAGGCUGAGGCAGGGAGGCAGGAGAAUCGCUGGAGCCCGGGAGGUGGAGGCUGCAGUGAUGCAUGACCAUGUCACUGCACUCCAGCCUGGAGGACAGAACAAGGCCCCGUCUCAAAAAAAGUAAAAAGAAAAAAAAAAGAAAAAGAAAAUAAAAGAAACUUAAGAGGGCGGUGGGGUGAGGGCAGGAGCCUACAAGGUGCGUGCCAUUCUCUUCAGGCAGCCCCAGCCCUGGGAGCAUCCCCUCCUCCCAGCUACAGUCUAUAGUCAGCGACCCCCACCCGUCUCCCCCUUGCCACCCCCAUCUGCUGGGGAUGUAGGUCCAUGUCCUUGACCCAAGACCUUCCUUCAUUCCUGCGCCCAUCCCUCCUCAAGCCAUAUCCCUUAUAUCCCUUGAGUCCUCCAUCCCCCCUCCCCCAUCUCCCUGUCCACAGCCUCUGCCCCUCCUCUCCCUACCCUGUACCACCCCAACCCCAGGUCUUCCUCCAUCUCCUUGGGAACACAGAGCUCCUCUAGCAGGCACUCUCAGAACACAGCCUGCCAGCCCCAGCACCCGGCCUUGCUCCCAGCCUCUUCCCACCACAGCAGCCUCUUCCCUCUGUAUUCAGCUCAGGCGCUCAGGACUGCCAGGACCCAGAGGAUUCACACGACAGCCCCGGCUGAAGCCCAGCUCCUCAUCAACCGGUGAGCCGCCUGCCAGCUCCUGCUCCAGCUGCUGAGAAGCCUGAAGAGACCAAGACAGAGACACAGCCCCGCAGCACCACAGGGAGGCCCCAGUUACCCCAUGCGGAUGAGUUUCAUGGCCAUCUCUAACUAAGAAGCUCGCCAACCCCCGUGGACUGCUGGCUCUCAAGGCGACCGCUAGCCCAGCUCCGACAGCAGCUGACAAUGCACAGUAUGCGGCCCGGGACAGGCCCUGUGCUGAGAGGCAUGGGUGAAUCGCUCAUUUCAUCGGCAAGCCCACGCCACCAGCAGGCGCCGUUC
rnacentral:lncRNA from 1 species